rnacentral:rRNA from 1 species
UAACUGAAGAGUUUGAUCAUGGCUCAGAUUGAACGCUGGCGGCAGGCUUAACACAUGCAAGUCGAGCGGGGGAAGGUAGCUUGCUACCGGACCUAGCGGCGGACGGGUGAGUAAUGCUUAGGAAUCUGCCUAUUAGUGGGGGACAACAUCUCGAAAGGGAUGCUAAUACCGCAUACGUCCUACGGGAGAAAGCAGGGGAUCUUCGGACCUUGCGCUAAUAGAUGAGCCUAAGUCGGAUUAGCUAGUUGGUGGGGUAAAGGCCUACCAAGGCGACGAUCUGUAGCGGGUCUGAGAGGAUGAUCCGCCACACUGGGACUGAGACACGGCCCAGACUCCUACGGGAGGCAGCAGUGGGGAAUAUUGGACAAUGGGGGGAACCCUGAUCCAGCCAUGCCGCGUGUGUGAAGAAGGCCUUAUGGUUGUAAAGCACUUUAAGCGAGGAGGAGGCUACUCUAGUUAAUACCUAGAGAUAGUGGACGUUACUCGCAGAAUAAGCACCGGCUAACUCUGUGCCAGCAGCCGCGGUAAUACAGAGGGUGCGAGCGUUAAUCGGAUUUACUGGGCGUAAAGCGUGCGUAGGCGGCUUAUUAAGUCGGAUGUGAAAUCCCCGAGCUUAACUUGGGAAUUGCAUUCGAUACUGGUGAGCUAGAGUAUGGGAGAGGAUGGUAGAAUUCCAGGUGUAGCGGUGAAAUGCGUAGAGAUCUGGAG